AUACGUAGGGUGCGAGCGUUAAUCGGAAUUACUGGGCGUAAAGCGUGCGCAGGCGGCUUUAUAAGCCAGAUGUGAAAUCCCCGGGCUCAACCUGGGAACUGCAUUUGGAACUGUAAGGCUAGAGUACGGCAGAGGGGGGUAGAAUUCCACGUGUAGCAGUGAAAUGCGUAGAUAUGUGGAGGAAUACCGAUGGCGAAGGCAGCCCCCUGGGUCGAUACUGACGCUCAUGCACGAAAGCGUGGGGAGCAAACAGGAUUAGAAACCCUAGUAGUCC
rnacentral:rRNA from 1 species